rnacentral:rRNA from 1 species
UCCCAGACUCCUACGGGAGGCAGCAGUGAGGAAUAUUGGUCAAUGGACGAGAGUCUGAACCAGCCAAGUAGCGUGAAGGAUGACUGCCCUAUGGGUUGUAAACUUCUUUUAUAUGGGAAUAAAAUGUUCCACGUGUGGGAUUUUGUAUGUACCAUAUGAAUAAGGAUCGGCUACUCCGUGCCAGCAGCCGCGGUAAUACGGAGGAUCCGAGCGUUAUCCGGAUUUAUUGGGUUUAAAGGGUGCGCAGGCGGAAGAUCAAGUCAGCGGUAAAAUUGGGGGGCUCAACCUCUUCGAGCCGUUGAAACUGGUUUUCUUGAGUGAGCGAGAAGUAUGCGGAAUGCGUGGUGUAGCGGUGAAAUGCUUAGAUAUUGCGCAGAACUCCGAUUGCGAAGGCAGCAUACCGGCGGCGAUCUGACGCUGAGGCACGAAAGCGUGGGUAUCGAACAGGAUUAGAUACCCCCGUAC